rnacentral:rRNA from 1 species
ACAUUGUUAAGACAAUGCUAAACUAUGAAAAUUAGGGAAAGCCGUAAUUGUUAAAUGAAUUUGGUUUUAUAUUCACACACUUUAAAAUGUGAGAAUCCUUGAAGCGAUUUUACUAUCGCUCCUUUCCUUUGUUUUUCAGAUGUAUUAUAGUGGAAGUUAGUGUAGUGGACUAACUUGCUAACAAUGCAAACGGAGAAUUAGGGUUCGAUUCCGGAGAGGGAGCCUGAGAAAUAGCUACCAGUUCUAAGGAGUGCAGCAGGCACGAAAAUUACUCAAUGAGGAAUUCUUGAAGUAGUGACAAAAAAUAACAUAGAGCUGCACUUUUAUUGUGCAGCUUUAAUGGAAUGAUAGAAAUGUAAAACAAAUUAAAAAGUAACUAAAGGAGGGCAAGUAAGGUGCCAGCAGCCGCGGUAAUUCCUUCUCCUUGAGAGUAUUUUAAAAUUGUUGCCGUUAAAAAGCUCGUAGUCGGAAGUUGAAGGAUGGUUUAAAAGAAGAAAAAGUUUUAGAACUUUUUUUCCUUCUUUCAUUCUUCUUUUAGAAGUGUAAUUAUUUAUUAUAAUUACUCUUUACACUAAGCAAAAAUUAAUGAUCAAAGUAAAGGCAUUUAAUUUUUUAAAGCCUCUUGAGAUUUACAGUAGUGGAUAAUUGAAAAUGUUAAAUAAUUAUUUUUAAAUUGAGUUUUAUCUUAAUUAUUUAAAAUGAUCAAUAGAAAUGGAAGGGACUAGGGGAACUUAUAAGGGAGAGGUGAAAUUUUACGAUCUUAUAAAGUCCAACCUAAGCGAAAGCACCUAGUUAUUACAUCUUCAUUGAUCAAGAGCGAAGGUAUGGAGAUCGAAGAUGAUUAGAAACCGUCGUAGUCCAUACAGUAAACUAUGCUGCCUAAGGAUAAGGAAGUGACGAUUGAAGUGUGCACACUUUAUUGUGUGUGCCUUCGCCAUGUCUUUCUUUGGACUUUAGAGAAAUUAAAGGUUUUGAGUUCGGGGGGGAGUAUGUUCGCAAGAAUGAAACUUAAAGGAAUUGACGGAAAGGCACCACAAGGCGUGGAGCUUGCGGCUUAAUUUGACCCAACGCGGGAAAACUUGCCAAGGUCGGACAAAAGAAUGAUUGUCAGUCUGAAGAACUUACUUGAUUUUUUGGGUGGUGGUGCAUGGCCGUUUUUAGUUGGUGGCAUGAGUUGUCUGGUUUAUUCCGUUAACGAGCGAGACCGAAAUGUUUAAAUAGUUGGGAGGAUGGUAUUUAAUUUUAGAGGGAGA